UGCCAGGCUGGCCCGGGCCCCUUCUUGGAGCCGCCACAGCUUGUCAACGUGGCUUGCCCUGGGCUCUCUGUUUUCAGGGCCCCACACGUGUGAUCAAUCUCCAGCUUCAAUGGCUCCCUACAAACUCCUGUUGUCCCCAAGAAUUUUUGGAAGAACCAGCAAAAAAUUCUCCCCUUUCUCCAGCUGGAGUGCGAUGCCAAUAAGAGGGGCUCGGGGCCAGCGCCCAGGCACUGGACUCGCUAUUCAAGCACGUGAGGCUCGAGGUCCCUCGAAAACGUGGCCAACAGUGCGCCAGUGCUCUGAGCGCCCGGGUCUCACAGGGCCAGGGAGGUCAGAGGCCGUGGCUUCAGCACCACCGCGUGGACAGCGCCCUGCCAGCGAGGAAGCCGGAAAAGCGUGUGCAGGGUGCGCGCAUCUCUGCAGCCCACGUCAGCUCCCACCUCCACGCGUGAGUGUGUCGACUUCCGCGCUUGUGUCCCUGAGUGACCACAUCUGCCCAUCGUCAUCGCGGAGGCAAGGCUAGACCCCCGAGAUGCCCCGGCCCCGAGGGCCGCAGAGCCUCUGGUGAGACCAGCGACCCGAGGUCAUGAUCUGUUCACUCUGCCGUUCAGACCCCGGAGACGCCCGCAGGACGCCUCAGCGAAGUAGUCUUCCACUCGGCCUUGGUCAGGAGAAGUCACCGGCGCCUGCUGUGCGCCGGGCUCAGGCCCACCUGGAGGGAGGCAGCACAGGAAGCCCGGAUCCAGGUCUUCCCGCCCCAACCGGCACCGAGGUCACCGGGACCCCUGCAGGACGCGCCCCCUCUCCUCGAUCUCCCUUCCCGCCCUCAGCCGGGCGCGUGGUGCACGCCUGUCCUCUCAGCGCUCGGGAGCCUGAGGCAGGAGGAUCGCUGAGAGUUCAAGACCAGCCUGGGCUCCACAAUGAGCCCAAGACCAGCCCAAACUGCAUAGCGAGACCCUGUGUCAAAACAAAACAGGACGCCGGGCCGCACUCUCGGACACUCCUCCUCCCUCCACGUUUGCUCCUGGCUUCCCGCUAGCAAGGGACGCCCUGGAAGUUGCUGCCAGAGCUGAACGCGCACGGCCACCGGCUGAGGCUCGGCCACAGCCAGACCCGCACCGCCCUCCAAGAGCGGAUAAUGCCACACUGCCCGGCCGGAGACAGGGACACAGCUGGAGCUGGGCAGGGACGGGAACGGGCUCCUACUGAGAGCAGCGGAGCCUUUAAGGGGCGUGGUCUGGUUGGCGGACUGACGUCACGAGGCGUGGCCUGCAGGGAACGCUGGGACUCUGGCGCUUCUGUAUCCUUCGCUUCCGGGUCUCAGCGAGUUGAGUGUGUUUCUCCCGCUGCCACGCGGCUGCUCCGUUGCACUCAGCCCUCCCGCGGGCUCGGAGCCCGGGGCACACGAGGAGGCGUUUCCAUCGCGUGACACUGGCAGCUGGGCAGGCUGGACUCGGGGCCUAGACAGCACCGUAGAGUACAUAGUAUCUUAAUAGUGUAUGUGUGUGUAUAUUAACUUCUGUGUGCCGUAUGCAUGUAACAUGUGAGUACUGUAUGUGUUGCGUCCCUGUGUUCUGGAGCACACGCUGUGUAUAUAACAUGGCUUAUACUUGUUGUAUAAACGUAUGAUCUCGCGGGUCUGCAGGGCCCAGUGCACACCAGACAACUGCCCUGCCACUCACUGUGUCCCGCAGCCCUCAGAAAUAAGACUUUUGAGCGUGUCUACGCUUUUUUUUUUUUUUUUUUUUUUUUUUUUUUUUUUGUAUUUUUGAGACGGGGUCUCGCCAUGCAAUUCAGGCUGGCCUUGACCUCACUUUAUAGCCCAGGCUGUCUCCAACUCGCAAGGAUUCUCCUGCCUCAGCCUCCCCAGUGCUGGGAUUACAGGCAUGAGCCACCACGCCCGGCUUGUCUAUGCUUUUAAAGAAAAGAAAGAGACAAGAUUUCGCAUCUUCUCCUCCCAGAAGGCAGAGGAAGAAGCUGACCCACCCACAGGGGUCGGGUCCUCCCCCAGCUCACGCUCCCCGUGUCCUCCCACAUCCCCCAGGUGAGUGCAGACCCCAGGGCCUGGCUCCCUGGCUGUUAAUUGAUGAUGGGACACAGAAGGAGGUGAUAGCAGCCGUGUGAUGCAGUUACACGCCUGGGGACCUCUGCCCUGUGGCAUGAUUUUCAGCGACCCCUGAGGUAACAGGAAGCAUGGACACCAGCAGCUCUAGUGCUCAGACCUGCAGGACCCUGGAACUGGUGGACCUCGGCUGAGGAGGAGGCAGAGGAGCUGGGGCUCCACAGGACACUGCCAAGAAUCCGAGGCUGGGAGCGGAGGCUCAGACCCUGCCCAGAGCCCAGUGGGCUUCCGAUUAUCUGCUUAAUUGAAGUGAAACACACGAGGUCAGCCGACAAGGACCUGUAUGUCCUUGUAUGUGGUGCUCAGGCUUAGGGACUGUCCCCGGGCCUUUUUUGUAUUUUUACUUUGAGACAUAGUCUUGCUAAGUCUGAGUUGCCGGAGCUGGACUCCCACUUGACAUCCUCCUGCCUCUGUCUCCCAGAAUGCUGGCAUCAGGUCCUGACUUUCUCUGGAUGCGAAGCUUUGUCCAUCCUCCUAUGUGUCUGGCUGGAUCUCAGACGAUUGCCAGCUCCACAACCAGCACCGGCCUUGUCGCGAUGGUGUCACGAGUUCAGCAUCCUCCCCACCAGCACCUCUCACCUUCCUUUCCCAGGCAUUGCUUCCCCUUUGUCACCUGAGAAUCGGGAAGGAAGCAGCCUUUCCACAGGGUGUGGAUGGAGCCCGGGGACCCAGGCUCUGCGCUGCUCCCAUCCCUGGCCAAGCUGCCUGCAAGGCCCCAGCUCCACGCCCUGCACAGAGCACCUCAAAGUGCUGGGCAUCUGCACAGAGGGCAGAGGCUGCAACCUCUGCCUGGAGGAGGCGGGAGGUGGGUAAAGAUGGGUCUGGCUCCUGCCUAUCCUGACCACAGUGAGGAGCCACAGUCAGUCAUCAGUAAUCACUGUUAUUUCUGCUGAGAUGGCCUCCAUCACCCCUGCUGCCUGGAGGGGCCACUGUGAGGCCAGUGCAGCUGGCACAGAGGUGACAUCACCCACCAGGACCUUUGCUGGAGCCCUGUCCUUCCUUCCUGUGGGCAACAGGAUACCCAGAGGACAGGGCAAGAGGCUCAGAUCAGCACCUCAGACUUCACCCUCGUGGGACUUUUCAGCUGCAUGGUUCCUCCCCCAACACCCAGUGACCACCAUGUUCCCCAUGGGCCUGCUCCUGACCUGGGUGGAUCCCAGGCUUCCCACACCCAUGCACCUCCUGCCAGGCCACUGCUCCCUGCUGGACCCCAGCUUCCUCUGGUCACCGUCCCCAAGCUCUUGGCUGACUUCCUGCGGGAGGACAACACCAUCUCCUUGACCAGCUGCACAGCCUGAAUGUCCUCCUCAUGCUGCUGGGCAUCUCUGAGGGCGUUCUGCUGGCCCUCCUGUCUGGUGCACUUGCUCAGGUGGCUGCAUCCCAGCUCCCGGGGGGCGCUAGGGGCCACAGUGCUGUGCUUCCCAUUCUGCACCUCACACACCCUGGCCCUCUUCCACCUACUGCAGCUCCCUUUGAGCUGGCACUGUCCAUCCCGAGGUACUGACCCAGUGCCACCUCUGUCCCUUGUUACCAACACCUAUGGCCUGGUGCUGGGCCCUGAGCUCCACAUGGAUGUGGUACAGGGCCCUGACCACCUGUUCCUCCUGCACCACGGUGCUGGGGCUCUUCAAUGGGGUGGCUGUGCUCAUUGAUGCACAUGGUGCCCCACUCCUGCCACCAACUGGCCAGAAUCACUCAGUCACCCAGUGCUGCAGCCUGCAGCCCCUACACUGAACCCCUCAUCUACAGCCUAGGAGUAGAGAGGUGCUCAGCCCUGGCCACAGCAGAGCUGGCUUCAGGUCUCAGGGGUCACGGCAGGGGACCCUGGCUGGUUAGAGACCUUCACUCAGAACGGAGUUAGCUCUUGGGGGUGGGUGGCAGGGUGCAGGUUCACUGUGGCCCAGAGGACACAGGAAACAGUCAUUCCAGUCACACAAAGACAGGAGGUUUUUUCAGUCUUAAAUGGAAGAUAUUUUCAGUAUAAAAAUUAAAAUCCAAGCAGGGUAUAACCCCAGCACUCUAGGAGGCUGAAGCAAGAUCACAUGUUUAGGCCUAUCUGGACCACUUAGAAACUUGAGAUCUUGCCUCAAAAUUUAAAAAAAAUAAUAAAAAUUUCAGAAGGCUAGCACGGGGGCUGGGCAGUUAGCUCAGUGGUGUAAGUGCCUGCCUGGCACACACAAGGUCAUGAGUUCGAUCCCUUGUACCAAAAAAAAAAAAGGCUAGCACUGUCACUCAGUGCACUGACCCUGGGGUAAAUCGCCAUUGCCAUCUGUUCACAGGUGAGCUUCAAUCGCCUGCUGAAGGCCAUGCAGAUCAGAAGGAGGGGAACAGGACAUGGGCUCCUCUGAGUCCAAGUUCAACAGCUGGAAAGUGACUCCCUAGGGCCCAAAGAAGUGGCAUCACCAGGGCAGGGAGGGGUGGCAGCACGGUGAAGAUGCCCCCAGCCCCAGCAACCCUGAUUGUCCCAGGAUGGUCACUCAGAUCCCAGGGGACAAGUGAGGCCAUGGGAAGUGACUGCCAGCCCCACCUCCCAGCAGGCCGGCUGUUCUCCACUCUGCUCUGCUCAGCUUGUGUUGCCCCCAGAGAUCAACUGUGUGCUUUUCUUUCUUUCCCAUUAUCCAUUGUUGGCUUUUGUAGCACAGCUUCCCAUUCCUGUUUUAUGCAUGCGGCUUCUCCUCCAUCACUGACACUGUUAGGGAAGGUCCCCUUGAGGUCACAGGUAGAUACAGGAAGACAAGACAAAGCUGACCUGUAAAUAAGAUGGCACUGAGGACUGGGGGCCACGCAGGUGGGGAGCUUGCCUGGGACUGAGGCAUGGCUUUGACCCUCAGCACUGUAAUAACAACAAUAGUAAUAGCCCCCUAUAGGCACACUUGUUUAGGAUGGAAAUUCGUAUCACGCCUCUGCUGCUUGGAGUUUUUAGCAGGGACAUGGGAAGGGUUUGUGCUGUUCUGCUCACCUGCGGGAUCAAGACUUGAUGAUCCUAAGUCUUUCCUGUCAUUCCACUGGACUUCGGUCCUUAGACUUCCCAAAUCCAACAACACCACUGCACCUACAAUAAGUAGGUUUCAAAUUUAAAAACAAACGCACUCAAGAAGCCAAGGCAAGAGGGUCCCAAAUCCAAAGCCAGCCUGGGCAAAUGGUAACCAGCACUGAGGUGGACAACUCAUCCAGCACAGAAAGGAAGGUAGAGACUCUCUCCCAAACACAAAAACAAAAAAGAAGGAGGUAAAAAAGCAGAUUUGGGGAGAAGAUUGAUGCCCAGCAAACCAGGGCAGAGGCUCCACAGGAGAGGUCUGUGAGUGCUCACACCUCUAAGUCUGAAAUGUUUCACAGUGCAAAAACAGAAGCACUAGUAUCACAGAGAUGGGUGAGGAGAAACUCACCAAUCAUGUGGUCUGUGUGGGCCCCCCAUGUGUCUACCAGAUGAACGGGCAUGGUGGCACAUGCCUGUAACCCAAGCAGUUAGGAGACUGAGGCAGGAUUGCCUCAAGUUCAAGGACAGCCUGGGCUACAUAUGGAGACCCUGGCUGGAAAACACAAAGAAAGGCCUGGGGUUUGGCUUAGCAACGUAAGUGCCUGCUUUGCAAACAUGGGGUCGUGAGUUCAACCCCUGGUACCAAAAAACACUCACACCAAGAAGAAAGAGAAAGAAAGGGAAAAUAUUUACACACAAUGGAGUGCUACUGUGCCAUGAAGAAGGAUAAACGUGAGUCACCUGCAGGACAAUGGGUGUACCUCGGGACCAUGAUAUUAAGUGAAAUAAAUUAGGCACACAAGCUGAGAUUUCACAUGCUCUCACUUAC